rnacentral:rRNA from 1 species
CUUACGAGGAUUCCCUUAGUAACGGCGAGCGAACUGGGAGCAGCCCAUCUUGAGAAUCAGGCGGCGCCGUCACCUGAAUUGUAGUCUGUAGAAGCGUCUUCAGCGGCGGACUGGGCCCAAGUCCCCUAGAAGGGGGCGCCCGAGAGGGUGAGAGCCCCGUCGGGCCUGGACCCUGUUGCAUCACGGGGCACUGUCGGUGAGUCAGGUUGUUUGGGAAUGCAACCCUAAUUGGGUGGUAAAUUCUAUCCAAGGCUAAGUACGUGCGAGUGACCGAUAGCAAAUAAGUACCGUGAGGGAAAGAUGAAAAGGACUUUGAAAAGAGAGUUAAAGAGUGCUUGAAAUUACUAGGAGGGAAGCGGAUGGAGGUCAGUGAUGUGCCCCAGUCGGAUGCGGAAUGACGGUUGCCGGUCUGCCGCUCAGCUCAGGGUGCAGACCAGCGCGGGCUGCCGUGUCGGUAGAACGGCAUGCGGGAUACCGCGCGAUGCUUCGCCAUUGCAGCGGUCGAGGAACUGAAGCGCGCGCCCUUGUGGCCGGCCUUCGGGCAGCUUGCUCGCUCAUGGCGUCUGGCUUGCGGGCUUUCCAUUCUGACCCAUCUUGAAACACUGGACCAAGGAGUCUAACAUGUGUGCGAGUCGGCAGGUUGAGAAACCCGUUAGGCACAAGGAAGCUGACUGGCAAGAUCUCCCAAUCGGGGGUGCACUGCCGACCGACCCUGAUCUUUUGUGAAGGGUUCGAGUGCGAGCAUACCUGUUGGGACCUAAAAGAUGGUGAACUAUGCCUGAGCAGGGUGAAGCCAGAGGAAACUCUGGUGGAGGCCCGUAGCGAUACUGACGUGCAAAUCGUUCGUCUGACUUGGGUAUAGGGGUGAAAGACUAAUCAAACCGUCUAGUAGCUGGUUUCCUCUGAAGUUUCCCUCAGGAUAGCUGGAGCUC